ensembl:snRNA U6 U6 spliceosomal RNA
GUGCUGCCUUUGGUGCCACCUAUACUAAACUUGGAAUAAUACAGAGAAGAUUAGCAUGGCCCUGCAAGGAUGUCAUGCAAAUAUGUGAAGCACUCCAUAUUUAA